GACGAACGCUGGCGGCGUGCCUAAUACAUGCAAGUAGAACGCACAGUUUAUACCGUAGCUUGCUACACCAUAGACUGUGAGUUGCGAACGGGUGAGUAACGCGUAGGUAACCUGCCUGGUAGCGGGGGAUAACUAUUGGAAACGAUAGCUAAUACCGCAUAAUAUUGAUUAUUGCAUGAUAAUUAAUUGAAAGGUGCAAUUGCACCACUACCAGAUGGACCUGCGUUGUAUUAGCUAGUAGGUGAGGUAACGGCUCACCUAGGCGGCGAUACAUAGCCGACCUGAGAGGGUGAUCGGCCACACUGGGAACGAGACACGGCCCAGACUCCUAAGGGAGGGAGCAGGAGGGGAACAUCGGCAAUGGACGAAAGGCUGACCGCGCAACGACGCGGGAGUGAAGAAGGUUUUCGGAUCGGAAAGCUCUGUUGUAAGAGAAGAAAGGGUGUGAGAGUGGAAAGUUCACACUGUGACGGUAUCUUAACAGAAAGGGACGGCUAACUACGUG
rnacentral:rRNA from 1 species